rnacentral:rRNA from 1 species
ACGGAAGGCAGCAGUGGGGAAUAUUGGGCAAUGGGGGAAAUCCUGACCCAGCAACGCCGCGUGGAGGAAGAAGGUUUUCGGAUCGUAAACUCCUGUCCUAAGGGAAGAGCAGAAGACUGUACCUUAGGAGGGAGCCCCGGCUAACUACGUGCCAGCAGCCGCGGUAAUACGUAGGGGGCAAGCGUUGUCCGGAAUGAUUGGGCGUAAAGGGCGCGUAGGCGGCCCGGUAAGUCUGAAGUGAAAGUCCUGCUUUUAAGGUGGGAAUUGCUUUGGAUACUGUCGGGCUUGAGUGCAGGAGAGGUUAUUGGAAUUCCCAGUGUAGCGGUGAAAUGCGUAGAGAUUGGGAGGAACACCAGUGGCGAAGGCGAGUGACUGGACUGUAACUGACGCUGAGGCGCGAAAGUGUGGGGAGCAAACAGGAUUAGAUACCCUGGUA